rnacentral:misc_RNA from 1 species
CGCACAUUGCGCCCUCUAGUAUUCUGGGGGGCAUGCCUGUUCGAGCGUCAUUACAACCCUCAAGCUCAGCUUGGUCUUGGGCAUCCACCGCCUGCGGUGUGCCCUAAAAUCAGUGGCGGUGCCGUCUGGCUUCAAGCGUAGUAAUAUCUUCUCGCUCCUGGAGACCCGGCGGUUCUUUGCCAGCAACCCACACUUUUAUCACAGGUUGACCUCGGAUCAGGUAGGGAUACCCGCUGAACUUAA